ensembl:lncRNA
CUUUCACAAUUGCUAUUAAAUGUGAGCGAGUGUCUGAGUGCACAGAAAGCAGCUCUCAAGUUUUGGAUACUUCUAAACCAGGCACUGAGUUCAUUGAGCUCCUUGAUUUGUGGCUUCGUGUUCUUUGAAUACUCAGGAACAAGACUGAGGAAGUCACUCCAAUGCUUGGAGUGUGCCUGCGUGGCAAAUGCCAUCAGCAUGCACAGGGGAGCAGAUGUGUCCCCAUACGGCCCUACCAGGAGUUGAGCUUGGUGUCUGCAUGGAUGCUGCUGGGAUGAGAACAGCAGUAUUGGAGCUCCUCAUCCUGAGGGCACUGCCAGGUUUUGGCAGGGGAUGCUGGCAGGCCUGCGGAGCUCACAGCACUGGGGGUGGGAACCAUGCAGGAGUGGGGCGAGGAGAGCGCCAGGGGGCUGCUGGGGGCCGUGUGCUGUGCAAGAGGGAACCGGAGCGAAUGCCACCUAAUGGAGAGACCCAACCAUGGCCAGCGAAGAGUUCAGCACUCAGGAUAAGGCAGGAGAGCUGCAGCCGGUCCCUGUAAAGCCUCUCUGGAAGGUGUGAGGAAGGCAAAAGUGGAAAUAAGUACAUGGAUUUAUAUAUUUGUAUAUAUAUAUAUAAAGCUAAAAAUUAAAGUACACAUUUGAGAACAAUUUUGUUGAAAGCAUGGCCACUCAAGGACAGUGAAAUAACAUAAACAAAAUACAAUCUGAGGCCAUUUCAGCACACUUCCUCCAUGGACUGUAUCCCAACCUGUGUACACAAAUAGCCCACACUGCGUGCCCGAAGUAAGGCAAGAUGGAUCCCUCCCCGGCCAAAAGAAAAUGAAAGUUCAAGAAUUUUUACAGUGUGUCAGAGCUUCCUGUUUUUUCACAUUUACCCAGACUACAGAAAUGUGAGACUCGUGAAAGACCCCUCCGCCCUACAGAAUGAUCAUGAAAUGUUCCUGGGACUGGCCCGAAGCCGACUGAAGCCUUUUGGAAGUGUUCCAGCCGAUUCAAUGGGUUCUGAUUCAGGCUUUGAAUUGAGCCUUAACUUUAUACGUUUUUGAUUAUUGAAAAGGCUCUAAUUCCCUCCUGCCUCCGUGUGUGCUGAUACAGAGACCUCAUUUUCCAUUGGUCCACACUAGAAUUUGUCACUCCACAGGAAACAUGCAACACUUUAAAUUGAUGCAGCCAGUCAGUGUACUUUUCUAAUGGACUUUGGGAGGUGUUAGUGGAGCCGUGUGAUGCAGACUGAGGGCACAGUUGACAUAAAUUAUUUCUAACCCUCACAGAACUGUGAGGUUGGAAAUGGAAAUAUAGCCCUUCAACUUCAAAGCACGUGAGCCCACAUGAGCCACCUGUGCUGGGAGAGUCACACACCCAUAGGUGUCAACCAGCAUCCCUCUGCAGGCACCAAAGCUUUACAAAUGCUUAGCUGCCUGAUUGCUAGAGCAAAGAAAAGUGGACACUUCCAUUGCAGCAUUAGAAAAAUAACAGUGGAGAGCAGAAAGUCUGGGCCAAGGCAAAACGUUUUGACUUCUGGAUGCAGCAGAGAAAGAGGAGAUUGGAGACACAAGAAAGUAAAUGCACAAGGAGGAGGUGGAAAUACUCGCCAGCACCUUGGGGAAAUCUGUGUUUUGUGUCUCUCAGCAACCAAGAGGCAACAAGUUCACAAGAGUGAGGGAGACUGGCAUGGCACCAGCCCCUAGAUACUCUUAUUUGGAGAAACAUAGAUGUGAGUGCUGAAGAGAGAGAAAACCCCGAGAGCAAGUAAUGAUGGCAGCUACAUACAGAAUUACCUAUGAAAUAUCCACAGAUGUAGUUUCACUGUAUUAUUUUUAGAAUAAAACAGAGCUGAUGUGUUGAAAGAAGAGUGCAAGGGUUAAUCACUUUACAGAUACAAACAACACGAGGUCCAGAUCACUCUGAGAAUACAGCUUCCAGCUAUGCCUGCUUUAAUAUCUUCCCUUUCCUCCUGGCGGUGCAAUAAGGCAAUUCAGCACACAGCCAAGGUAUUUUGUGAUACGCUGUCAUCUCCAGCCAACUUCUGAAAGGCUGUGUGGUGAGAAGGGAGGAUUCACAAGCUGAUACCCUGACACCGCUGAGCUGCUCUCAGAGAAGCGUGCCAGCUCACAGUGGAGUUACCAAGUUGCAGCCUUGGUUCCAAUCCCGUUCUUUUUUUGCCUCCUCCUCCAGACUUUCUGAUGACCUACUCAGUAAAUGAGGAAAUCCUGAGUGAACGCUGAACUUCAACGAGCCAACUGAUGAACCAGCAGCACCACUGCUGCUUUGCCUUUAUUUAGGACAGUUAAAAAUCAGGAUGAAGAGAUUACUUUCUCUCUGCACAAUGACUUUUAUUCUUUCCUUUCUCUGCUGUAAGUUCCUGUCCUGAGAAAUCCUAUUAUCUGUUUGCCUUUUCUUCUCUUCUGGCCUUCACACAUCUAGGAGUUCAAAGUUAUGCUAUGAACCUACAAUCUCUCUUCUUCCACAGCAAAAACUUUUAACAGUCCACUCUGAUAUGACCUUGCACUUUCUUAUCAUGGAUAUUAUCUAAUUUCCCUAACUCCUGUCCUUAAGUUCCUCUUUUUGCUGCUUUCCCAGUCCUCCUGCCUAUCAAUCAGUUAUGCUUCCCAGCUUGGUGUCAAUACACUUUAUUGGCCAAGUCUUUGAGAGAUUUUUAGGACAGUCAGUUGUUGCUGGCUGCUCAGCUCCCCCAGUAUUGAGUUUGGUCACAGCUUUUAGAUAGGCAACAUCUGGAACUGGCAACUUAACUGCCUGUAAACUCUGAUUUCUUCUGACAUUUUCAUCUUCAAGUACAUCUCAUAUUUCUCAAAGGAAGUAAGCAAGUUCAGGGCAGGCAUAUUUUCACAUUUCUGAUGAUAGACAUGAAUGAAGGGAAACUAUUUAGUUCCUCAGCAAUUUGUUUAUUUUGAGUAUUCCCUUCUAUCCCUCGUGAUCCUGUGGGCCCUUAGAUCUUUCAGUGAGACCCUCUUUCACAUAUAGGUGAAGAAUCUCUUACUGUUUUAAAUAUUUUGUAUUUUUCUUUAAAAUAUUUAUAAUGAACCUUCCUAUUAAUUUCCUUCUUUAUUGCCUGCUGUGACUUAUGCUUCUCUUUAGUGGCAUCCCUAAAGCUUUAUUUCCCCAUUUUGACUUUGUAUUUGAGCCUCUCCAACCUUGCUGUUAAUGGCUUUGCUGUCAGCGGUAAUAAUUUCUCCAGAGUAUCUCUGUUCAGUAGCACUCAACCCUUAUCCAAAACAAGGGCCAGAGCAGCUUCAUCUCUCCAUGGUGAUUGAACCAGACCUGGACUCCACUAAAUUCUUUUGGGACCAAGGGCUGAGACAGGAGCAAGGGGAGGAUGUGUCUGCAGGCUCUGGGACAGGCUCUAUCUAUCCAUUCGUCUAUCUAUCCAUCCAUCCAACAAUCAUCAUAGAAUCAUCAUAGAACAGCCUGGGUUGAAAAGGACCACAAUGAUCAUUGAGUUUCAUCCCCCCUGUUAUGUGCAGGGUCACCAGCCACUAGACAUAGCCGGAGGGUUGAAAUCCAUCCAUCUGUGUGUGUGUGCAUACAAAGCAUCCAUCAUUAUAGAGCCACAGUCUUGGUACUUUCCUGUGGUAAAAAAUAAAUAACAAAAUAUUAUUGAUAAAUAAGCAAUUGUUGAUUAUAAAGAUAAAUAAGCAAUUGUUGGGAACAAACAAAUAAAUGCAGGACAGUCUAAACGAAAACCUGGAGAAAUUAAGAAAGUUGCUGAAAAAAAGUAUGCUUGGACAUCCUGUACAGAAAAGUGGUAUAAUAACUGACUUCUGAACGUAGCUGACUCAUAAAAUUCUCUGUUUUGUUUUUUUCUCAUUCAUUUAUUCUGAAGCUAAUCAAGUGGCUUUUGAAACUUCUUGGGUUAAUUAGAGGAGGAAAUAAUGGAUGAUGGUAAUCUUUCCCUAGAAGAGAUGCCUUGUGAAGUUACCUACAUUGCCCGAGAAAUGCUACGAUGCCCUUCCGUUCUGAAAGAGAUCUGUGCUAAGGGAUGGCAGUGCAGAAGCAUUGCACAACGUCUUCAGUUCACGGCAGUCUGGCAGGUCGUGUUAAUUCAACAGCAUUCUUGAAAUCAAAGUCUAAGGUUACGCUGCCAACUGGAAAUUAUACCUGUUCCUGCAAAAUAUGUCAUCAUCAAAGGGGUAGGUAAUGUAUAGUACACUACAAAGACUGCAUACAUGCAUUCUUUUCUCUGAGGUUGCUUCCCAGAUUUUUCUUCGCUAAAAUGACCCUUAUUAAAAUAUAAAGCUCACUGAAUAGGAAAACAAAGCAGUAAAAGCAAAUAGUGGGACAAACAUAUUUCAAAGAGAUUUAAAAAUAAAUCCCAGAGAUAACGUUUCAAAACUGUGCUGCUGGGACUUGGUUUUCUUUCUAAAGUUUUUCUGCGGUAGGAAUCAUAGAAGGCUGAUAGUGAUUAAAGUUUGUAAUGAAGCAAAUCUGGUGCCAUGAUAUAACUUUUUGAUCUAUAGCACCACCCCCACACCCUUCACUAACCUCAGCACCUCAAAAUCCCUUUGAUACAAGCAUAGGAAAUGAAAGCUCUUUCCAAAAUGCUGAUUUCUGUUCAAAGUGGCUGUCAAAUAAAAUAAAAAUCAACCUAAGUUUCUGGUAUAGUCACAUUCUUCUAAGUUUUUCUUGUACGACUGUUAUCUGAUUUACUGGAAAUACUGCAUAUCUCGUUUUCUUGAUACAGCAUGCUGCACACUUCUCAGUAUUGUAAGGAAAUUGAGGUACUUUGUUGUUGUUGUUGUUCAUUUUUAUUUUUCCAAAGUUUCCUCUUUUGAUAUCCUUCGGAUCACGUAGGAUUACAGUCCCCACCUGUUGAGCCCUGGUCCUACACCCCAGCUUUAACCAGAUGAGCUGACAGAGGAGGGAGGAACAGGAAAGGAGCUGCUUGUAUUUCUUUAGACCUGUUCCUGCAUUUCACCAUUCUCUGUUUUCAAAACUGCUUAGAGAUAUUUAGAACCCAUACACUGACCAAACCCAUCUCGUGCUGUCUCAGAUGUGAACACCUGUCUCAAUGUAGCAUCCAGCAUCUGGCCCACCUGUGUCCCCAGAACAGCUUGAAGACUUGGCACUUUCUCUGGACCUAAUUUCCCUCUGUUCCCAGUCCAAUAAGUGGGAACAUGCUCCAGCCUAACAGAAGACAGGCAGAGGGAACAUGACAGGAGGCGGCUGUUGCAACAGCUUGGUGGCAAGCCAGCAGGCUACAUCACUGUACAAAGGAGUAAACAGGGACAGCUCAUGCACAGAGCUGGUGCUAAUGGGACAGGCAACCUUUAAAGGGGACUUCUACCAUUCUCCUUUCUCUCUUCCUUUUUCUUCUCUUCUCUUCUCUUCUCUUCUCUUCUCUU